GCUGGAAUAGCUCAGUUGGUAGAGCAUGAGACGUUUGAUCUCAGGAUGGUGGGUUUGAGUCCCACAUUGGGCA